rnacentral:rRNA from 1 species
UACGUAGGGUCCAAGCGUUAUCCGGAAUCACUGGGCGUAAAGCGUGCGUAGGUGGCGCGUUAAGUGUGAUGUUAAAUCGCGGGGCUCAACCCUGUCGAUGCAUCGCAUACUGGCGUGCUAGAGGGAAGCAGAGGCAAGUGGAAUUGGUAGUGUAGCAGUGAAAUGCGUAGAUAUUACCAGGAACACCAAUGGCGAAGGCAGCUUGCUGGGCUUCUUCUGACACUGGGGUACGAAAGCGUGGGGAGCGAACAGG